rnacentral:tRNA from 1 species
GGAUAGUGUAGUGGUAACACUGCCGUCCUUCUCAUGGUAGACCGGGGUUCGAAUCCCGGAGGAUCCG